CUAAUGAUGGAUUAAUUAGGCUUAAUAGAUUCGUCUCGCGAUUUAGUCUAGGGAUUCUGCAAUUAGUUUUGUAAUUAGCUCAUGUUUAGUCCUUCUAAUUAGCAUCCGAAUAUCCGAUGUGACACGGACUAAAUUUUAGCUCCAGGAUCCAAACACCCUCUUAGCGCUGCUACUGUGUUAAGUGUGUUAAUUAAACAGAAGCUGCGGGAAUUAAUAUUUGCAUGCAUGGGCGGUCAACCUAACUUGCAUGCUGAUCAAUGCAGGGCCAGGGAGGUAGGAGAACACAUGCAUUGGCUGCCAACGCCCUGACACGGUCACAAGGCUCCACAGCAUGUCACAUGCAGGCGAGAUGGGAGGAGGCGGGAAAGUAGCUAGAUCAAUAUUCUCUCUUCUCUCCUUUUCUUUUUUGUUUCUUUGAGAAGGCCAAUAUAGAAGACGCAGGUUAGGUACUAAAUCGUUGUCGAUUAGCAUGCAUUACUUCCAUGUCAGAGGCUCAACGACUAGUGUCGUCAUGCAUGCAAGGUAUAUUUAACAGCUACUUGACGCUUAAAUGAAAGCAUAAGAGUAAGACCAGCACGCACGCUCCCAAGGCACAAGCACAAACUGGUUCAAAGUUGAAACGCCAGCAACAUGUGACCAUAAAGCGAAACUCUAGAGUAUUACUACUCACUAGCCAGCUGAUUACGAUCCAUGUAUGAUCGGGCAUUCAGGUUGAAUAUUAGGUGAGACCAGUGCGUGAGCUGAUGAAGCACUGACGACGCAGAGGCACGAUGCACCAGGCUGGAACGGAAUCGGCUAGCUCCCUUCAGCAGUGGUAUACUGGUAUGCAGCAGCAACCGAUGAGGAAGCUUUUGCUGUGGCGUGGCGUGGGCCUGGAGCACCAACGAAAAGCUGCGAAUAAUGCGAUGCAGUAGGUGAGCCAAAUCUAUCAAGAUGCAGAGGCCCGUUGUUGGCCCCCUUGGAAACUUCCAAACUGCCCGGGAAAAAGAAUAAUGUACCAGUGAUGGUUGAUGCUUUGGUUACAGUUGAACUUGAGAAAGUGAGGUACACUUUGUACAUCGUUUCUUUUCUAAUUUUUAUAAAAAAAAGAAGAAGAAAAGAAAAUCUGAUGAGGUAGCAUUGAUGCCAAUUUGGCUGCUGCUUUUUAGACAGGGGAUGUUGUUUGUUAUUGUAGUUAAGUGUCGUAAUCAGGAUUUGAGGCCGUUAUGAUGAUGCAAUCUCGACCAUCCUUCUUGGUUGAAAAGAAAAUCUUGACCUCCUUUCCUCAGAGUGGAGCGUGCUCUUUUCUUUGACCGAACCGGCCGGCGGCCGCCACACCAGAUGGCUGGGUGAUAUCAGUAUUUUUCUGCUAGAAAUUGAAAGCCCCAAAAUUAAAAUGCCAAAAAUCCUUGACGUUGACGGUUAAUCGACGGCCCAGGCGGCGCUGUGAGCCCAACGAACGGUGGAUGCGGAAGGUUCAAGAUAAGUCCACGCCACGCAUAUAUGUGCAAAAGGUUUCAGGCGUUAGCUAUUCAUUUCAGGAAGCAAAUAUAUUCCUAAAUCGAUCAACUCCUUCGGUUCCUGCUUGAGACCGACGAGAGCAAGGUAGUAGGCCGGCAUGCACAUGUACGACGAUGCUACUAGGUACUUUCUCCGUUUCAAAUUGCAAAUCGUUUUGAACCUCCAUUCCAAAUUGUAGGUAGUGGGUAUACUAGCACGCACACUUGUCCAUGGCAGCAGUACAAGUGCGCACCAGGUUAAUUCUUCCGGACUAGCGGUGUACCGACAACGGAUUCGUCCGAAUGCAAUGGACAACAAUGCCAGCGCUUGCUUGCACACGUGGAACUGAAGGCUCGCGAUCGAUGGCCUCCGUGGAGAAACAGCUAGCAGUGAGCCAGCGACAGCGUGCCACGAGCCCAUCCUUAUGUUCAUGUAAGAUUUUUUUGUCGUCCUGAGCUAGCAGUUGACGGCGGCUACGACUGCCCGGGGCGUGGUGGUAGCUUAGGGCUCUGGAACACGUGAAAAGCGGCCCUGAAUUAGCUCCAUCUGCCCGCAAUGUGUGGGCACGAGCCGGUCCACACGGUGACACGAGCGGAGGCGGAAGUAGAGCGAGCUAGCUGAGCCAACGAGAUCCAACGCGCGGUGCGACAGCGACGGUUGAACGGACCCAUUCACCGGAAUCCCCAUUCACCACCCUGGAAGGUCAGACCAGCUGAUGAUGCUCAGCCACUUUACUGUACUAUCUUGUGUGCGGGUCCACGGUGGUACAUACCAACGAUCAAAAGCUACGUGGGAGUAUCUCUCUAUUUGUUUUUUUAAGAGAGGAAUUAACCAGAUCUCUGCAGAUUCUGACGACCUCUAAUUAGACUAGUAGAGUGCAUGUGUUUAAAAAAAUAAUAAAUCAAAAUUUUAUAUUCACAACUUUGCAUCAGACAAAAAACUUAAAACACAUCACUUUACUUCAAACAAAACGGUAAUUAACACUAAUCAUCAAGAAAAUCACAUGUGUUGCAUAUAAAAUUAUUUUACUCUACUGCAACCUUUGCUGCUAAAUUAACAAGAAAGAUUCAAUCAGCUCUCCACCAUUAGACUGGCCCUGAAUCAUCUUCACGGUGUUCUUGAUCUUGGCAAUCUAAGAUCGGAUGUAGACUGAUUCGAAGAUACCUACGUGGUUAUCAAAGUAGAGAGCUGCUCUUGCUACAAUGUGGACUGCAUCUUGUUCUGCACGCAUCAAAAAUAAAUUAGACUUCAAGCUACGUAGGAGUAUCACUCUAUUUGUUUUUUUAAAGAGAGGAAUUAACCAUGCAGACUCUGACAACCUCUAAUUAGACUUGCACGGGCUGCGGCUCACAUAUCUAAUACUAGUAUCUGUUUUUUUUUCGUUUUUGUUUCAAAAUGUGUUUUUGAGUAGACUCUGUGAGUCACACAGGCAGCCAGCCCAAGUCACGCAUCAUCCACUCCCUCCCCACACCACACGUACCGUACGUACCCGCAACGCAGGGGGAGCACAGACGUCGCUUUCCUUUUCUUUUCCGUGUCCCUGUGGGUGUGGCCGAGCUGAUGGAUCGGAGCUCGAUCUCUCCUAUCCAACAAAGGCGAGAGGGCAAUCUAGAAGCGAGCGAUCGAGCCAGCGGCGGAGCGAGGCCAAUCCGGUAGUCCAAUUACUGUUGGCUUGCCACUCCGAUCCAUCCUACACGCCACGGUGGGCGGUGGUGCCUGCCUGCUGAUGGUGCUCGAUGGGGGGCAUGCAUUAGCUCUCGGCAAGCACCCAUCCGUCUAGGGUUUUUUUAGUCAGUCUCCUCGUUAGUCGACUGAUAUUUGCUUUUUCCGUCGGUCAAUGUUUCCAACUGUUACACGAAGAACAACACCGAAUAACCUUAUCUCUUCCUUCUCUGUCAACGUUUCUGCUUCUUUCUGACAGAACACUCCGCCACCCUCCCUCUCGCGGUCUCGCCCCCCACCUCCUUCCCCCAACGCUAGACUGCUGGAGCAACCUGGCAACGAUGAAACGGCCUCCGGAUACCGUCCUCCCCCUCGUGGUGCCUCUAUCUCUUCAUUCAUAACUUGAAAAAAAAAUCAUCUUCUCCAAGUCCGGCGACCCGAACUCUACCGCCGCCCCCCAUCGCCGCCCAAUGCUAACCCAUUGGGGCCGGCACCCCUGCAGCCUCCACCGCCCACCGGGAGUCUCCCACCACCUGCUUCGGCGGCGUCUCCGCUGCCUCCGCUCUGCCACCGUCUCUCCCGCCUCAACUGCCGGUCGGCGAGCCGCCCAGGAGCUCCCUCUACAGCUGGGAAGCAAGGUAUAAGCCCCUAAAAUCCCGAACCUCCAAAUCCUAACCCAAACUCUCUUCCCCAUUUAAUUUUUAAGUACAAAUUUGGGUGAUUGGUGGAUAAGCUAGCUCUCCGUCGACUGAAGUGGAGUGAAACUCUUUUUUUUUAAUACUCAUCCGUCUAGUUGGAGUAAUGUCUAUCCGCAUGCCCUGCUUGUUCAUGCACACCGAAGCGACGGCUCACAUGUAUGUCUUGGUUGGGCCUGGACGUACGGCAUCGGAUACAACAUACAAAGGUAGGAGUAGCUACUACGUACUUUACUUCUGAAAGGAGUGAUGGAUUUCAAGUACAGUCUCAUCACGAAUACUAUCGUAGUUUCUGCAUGCAUGCCCAUCUGUCUCUGUUUUUUUGGGGCUGCCUGGAGAUUGUGCUCUUCUUCUACGGUUCUACCUGUUUCAGUUUUUUUAGUUUGUAGUAUCGUGGAACACAGGACAUAUGAAUAAACACGUACCGCUAUGAAACCAUGUCCCUGACUCCCUGUGCUAUUAUUCCAUCUACUCGCCCAGCAGCACUGGCGGAGCCAAGGCCCGGCCACCCUGGGCAUCUGCCCGGGCUCAUCACCUGCCAAAACCAUUAGCUAAUUUAGUGUUCCGCUGUUGGUUAGCACUAGUUGUAUAGCUGGAGAGUGGAGACGCCCAGGCUCAUCGAAGAAGUCGCUGGCUGCGCCACUGCCCAGCAGGCGUUCCGAGGAGGGAAGUUAUCACUAAACAUGAGCAGUUUUCGGAGUGAAAAAAAGCGCCUCCCGUGUCUUUCCCAUGUUCGCAAAAGCGCCGUCCAUCAGUAGAAAGUGGGAGAAUAUGUUCCGCGCGCAUCCAAGCUUUAGAAUCCUAGAUUCCUACUUUCCUACUAGUCUCUAUAUCAUAUCCGAUCACAUGCGUGAUGUGCCAGAGAACCCUGUAUUCCUUUCUUCUCUUCCAGUCCUCCUAUCGUCGUCUCGUGGCUUUGCGACUUUUUCCUCUUGGCUGACGGCCUUUUCGAUCGAUUAUUACACUGCUCUUACAUACGCUCCGAUCCCGGUCAUGGUCUCAUGGAAGCGGCCAAAAACAGAAGGUGACGGGUGACCAGAUAGGCAGAUACAGGACGUACCAUGUACGUACAUGAGGCACCCGUCUGUUUUUGGUGAAAUCCAGGCCCCAUGAAUUUGGGAUACAGGUCAGGAUGCUGAUGAGGGCCUGACGCCAUGCAUGAGCAUCACAGCUCGCUCCACGCUCGUCACUCGUCAGCUCGCGCUCGUGCAACCACCACCAGCUGAUCCCUGGGUCUACACCGUCCCACCGACGACACUUUCCACUCCGUCCGUCCAAAGAUACGCCCAGGUAAUGUAACAUCAUCAUACUUCACUUGGCCCGGCCCAAUAGUACUAUGGAAAUGGAACUAUGUCUAUGUGAACUGUUUAGCGCGCAUCGUGGCCAAUUUAGGCCUUGGUAAUGUUUGGGCCCUGGGCCAAAUGAAGAAACCUGCACCCGGGGUUGGGCAACUCUAACUAACGAAACCUGCACCACAACCUCUCGCGUCUUAUUGGGCCACAUCGCCUCAUAUUUCUCACCGUCCGAUCUUGAUCGGGCCGUCAAAAAACGAGCAUUGCAGCUACCGUUUCGACGAUUCGAGAGCUUUCGUCCUGAGGCCGGACGUGUCCGGCUGCCCACGUGGGCCACCUCUCUGGUCUCGGGAGAUUUAAUUAUUUACCACUUUUAUAAAGGUCAUAUCUUCAUUGAUAGAUUUAGGGGGUGUUUGGAUACGAGGUGUUAAACUUUAACACUGUCACAUCAAAUGUUCGGAUGCUAAUUAGGAGAACUAAAUAUGAGCUAAUUAUAAAACUAAUUGCAGAACCCUAUGCUAAUUCGCGAGACGAAUCUAUUAAGCCUAAUUAAUCCAUCAUUAGCAAAUGGUUACUGUAGCACCACAUUGUCAAAUCAUGUACUAAUUAGGCUUAAUAGAUUCGUCUCGCGAAUUACACUCCAUCUGUGCAAUUAGUUUUGUAAUUAACCUAUGUUUAAUACUCCUAAUUAGCAUUCAAACAUCCGAUGUGACGGGUGUUAAACUUUAACACCGGUGAGCCAAACAGGCCCUUAGAAUGGCUUCUAUUCUUUUGCCAUCGCGUAAUAUUUGAGCAAAUACAUUUGCCACUUUAUCCUACAUGGCACGACACCUACUCCCUCCAGCGUGGAUCAGGUACGGGAAUGAUCAUCGUGCCCUCCCCUUAUCCGUUAACCCUGAGCCAGAGCCGACGCCUUCCUCAUCCUCUUCUUCCUCCCUACUCUGCUCGUCCUUCCUUUCUCCCCUCGAACUGCCCUUCCUUCCUACUCUGCUCGUCGGGCAUCUUGUCUUCGCCACGCGCAAGCAAUAUCGCAGGUUGGAGCAUCGUCAAGUGGCAGGAGACCGGUUGCAAAUCCCCUUGUCGGUGAGGAGACGGGCUUACCAUUAAUCCAGUGCCCUUUCUGCAAUAGGGCACGGGUAAUUGAGCGGCGGACGCAGCAAAAUUCUAUCAACUACGAUCGGAUCUACAUAAAUGCCUAAGGAAUGAAAGAUGGGUGAGUUUGAUUUUGGAUUUGUGAUUUCAGGAUCUGCAUUUGGUUGGCUUCAUUUUGUUGACUUGUAUAUCACUUGAUGUUCAGAUUCCAGAUAAGUGUGAGUACUAUAGGUGGCAAAGGUUUUAUUUCAAAGAUUUGGUUGAUGCCAAGGUGAUUCAAGUGUUUCACGGGCAAGAUGAUGAACAACUUGAUGAACAAGAAAAGCAAUCCAUGGUACUUGAGUGUGCGAGGAGGGCAGUAGCAAGUGGGAAGUUGUAGAAGGAAGCCAUGGAGGCAAAACUGGAUAAAAUGAUGAAUGCCUUGGUGCUCUUGACUGUGUUACUUGUAGAAUUUAUGCGUGUUGUAGUUGGCUACAUGUUGAAGUAGUAGGAACAUUUGUGUUGCACUUUGUUAUAUGUGUUUCAGUCAACAAUGUAUUGUAUCUGUGUGUGAUGAAUGAACAUUCACUUUUGUUUGUUAGGAAUGAUGUAUUUCUACUGAUGAAAUUGUUGCACUUUCGAAUGAACAAUCUAUUGAUGUAUUUCUACUUAAUGAAUAAGUUUUGGCUUAAG
rnacentral:lncRNA from 1 species